rnacentral:rRNA from 1 species
CAAUAGCGUAUAUUAAAGUUGUUGCAGUUAAAAAGCUCGUAGUUGGAUUUCUGGUGGGAGCGAUCGGUCUGGCGCUUAGCGCGAGUACUUGCAUCGUCUCCGGCCAUCCUUGAGGAGAGUCUGUCUGGCAUUAAGUUGUCGGGCAGAGGAUCCUCAUCGUUUACUGUGAAAAAAUUAGAGUGUUCAAAGCAGGCUUAUGCCGUUGAAUAUAUUAGCAUGGAAUAAUAAGAUAGGACUUUGGUACUAUUUUGUUGGUUUGCGCACCAAAGUAAUGAUUAAUAGGGACAGUUGGGGGUAUUCGUAUUCCGUUGUCAGAGGUGAAAUUCUUGGAUUUACGGAAGACGAACUACUGCGAAAGCAUUUACCAAGGAUGUUUNCAUUAA